UUCCUACGGGACGCAGCAGUGAGGGAUAUUGGUCAAUGGGGGAAACCCUGAACCAGCAACGCCGCGUGAGGGAAGACGGUUUUCGGAUUGUAAACCUCUGUCCUCUGUGAAGAUAAUGACGGUAGCAGAGGAGGAAGCUCCGGCUAACUACGUGCCAGCAGCCGCGGUAAUACGUAGGGAGCAAGCGUUGUCCGGAUUUACUGGGUGUAAAGGGUGCGUAGGCGGCCUUGCAAGUCAGAAGUGAAAUCCAUGGGCUUAACCCGUGAACUGCUUUUGAAACUGUAGGGCUUGAGUGAAGUAGAGGC
rnacentral:rRNA from 1 species